rnacentral:lncRNA from 1 species
GAAAAAUCAAAAUUAGAAACAGAACUAUUAGAACCCAAAACCAAGAUUUUGUCAAAGAUGUAUAACUUGCUGUUGAAAUGGAAUACUCAGGAUGAAACGGUGAAAUCUGCUAUGAUUAAAUGGGCACAAGAUGUUGGACAUAACAUAAUGAUGGCUGACUGGGAACAGUUAUGGACCACAGGUAUGAAUGAAUUUAUGAAUGAAUUUAUUAAUACGGUCACAGACCAGCGUCAACACACACAAUAUCACAGAUCAUAAAAAAAAUAUCAGAAAUACAGAGGACAAUAUGAAUAUAACAAGGAUUUAAAUAUAAAAAAUUAAAGUUAAUUAUUAGCGUGCCCCCUAUAAUUAACAUUUGGGGGUUUGGUCAUUAUGGGAUACCACUUGCUUCCUGCGAUUAAUUGCAGACGCACAGAAUUUGGCUACAUUUAAUGUAGUCUUGGGAUUCUUGUCCUCUAACAGUAAUUUUAAACUAUGGUGUUCCGAUUCUUUCCUGGACUUUUGCAAAACAGGUGUAAUAAAAGUCAAACGUAUAUCCUCAUAAAGACGACAACGUAAUAGUACAUGUGAAGCAGUUUCAACUUCCAACGAGCCACAAGGGCAGACCCGUGCUGUGUAUGGUUUACCCUCAAAUCUGCCCUGAAGUAAGGCAGAAGGCUUGAAUAACUUAGAAAAAUUCAAUUUCUUAGUUUGUGUAUAACUCUUAGUCCGCCUUCCCACUUUUAUGUUUUUAGACUUCUUCUUGUGAAGUGGGUGUAUUCUUUGGUGGCGAUGUUUCUUUUUAGGUGAGGGGUGUGUGACUCGACUGUUGGUAGACAUGGGCGUGGCUCUCUUUGGGACCUUCUCUGAGAUACUGGGCUCUGUUGGAAUUUCAGCCGCUGGAGUGGGGGUGUGUGAAAUUGCUCCCUUCCUGAUGAGCUCUGUCAGGCUUACUAGCAAACCCAUGCAUUCCGUAAGAAAGUUCCUAAUUGGUCCUAAUUCUUUACUUAUGUGCAUUUGACAUUCUUUCAUCAUUUCAUUGAAAAGCCCAAUCAGGAUACAGAUAUUGCUAUCUGUGUCCCAGCAGGCUCCUUUUAGCUGACUUGGAUUUUCUUCUGUUCUCGUCGCACUUGAGGAUUCCAUCCUAGCCUUUUCGCUGGGGCUGGCUGCAUUGACUAGUCCAUCUAGUGUGACUUCCAGGCGUUUCAAAUUUCGUUCUUGAUCAUGUUCUACGAAAGUGUCGGUAGCACUAGAUUGGGAGACUAUCUGAGCCAUCUCCAUUGCCAGACUGAUUCCCUCUCUCUCCUCACCAAUAUCAGGUUCCUUCCCAUAGCAUGUUCGGUCAAUAGACCAGUCGUGGAGAAGUGGGGACUCGGAGCAUAUGGGCGUUUUUGUUUUAGGCUUAAAAUAAUGCAAAAUUUUCGUCUGCGAGGUUACUGAUGGUGAUUCAACCCUCUGCGUUGGGGAGACCCCCAGAACUUUACAUUUCUGUCUAGUGAGCACCAUCUCCGUAGAGUAUAUGGAGCUAUGUGGGAUAUGUGGAUGUGAAGAUAGCACCGCUUAGUCCCAGUUAGACAAGCUGGAAUUAGCACUCCUCUAGUUAAAUAACGCUCUCCCCAGAAGCUCCACGUCUAGUUAAUUAAUUAGAAGUGGCUGUGGUCCACUGCGUGCCAGACUUUCCGACAGUUCACGAUCUAACGGUCAGAGAUAGAGGGGGGUAGAUGAAAUAGAUUAUUACAGCGGCAUUACUUACAACGACCGUGGCAGAUGAAACGUUGAGGGGAGGAGGGCGAUGAAAUCCUAUCUGGCUUGAACCGCCAUCUUACUUGCUGAAGAGACUAUGUAGUAAUACUUCCCGACGGCGUUGAAAGCCCUCCGGUGAUGUUAACAUUAAUUUACUGCCCCCGCUGUACCCCGCCAGCUGCGUGGAAUUCCGAAGUGUAAGUAAAGCUCAGUACUCUCUCUUCCUCUCUUCCUCUCUCAGAAACAGUUAUGGACCACAGGUAUGAAGUUUACGGCAUGCAAUGCCUUAAGAGAGAAUAUUAUGAAAAUGAUAUACAGGUGGUACAUGACCCCAGUCAAGCUUGCAAAAAUCUAUCAUUUGCCCGAUAACAAAUGUUGGAAAUGUAAAGAAACUGAAGGUACAUUCUUUCACCUUUGGUGGACGUGCCCAAGGAUUAAGGCUUUCUGGGAGAUGAUUUAUAAUGAAUUGAAAAAGGU